GUUCAUUCCCGUCAGCAACAUGUGGACUUUUGUAUCAACAAAAAUAGAUAUAUUACACAUGGAAAAUUCAGCAAACUAGGUUCCAUAAUGGCUCAUUAAGUUUGUGUAAGAACGAAAGAAAAUUUACCUCUAAAGAUAAGAAUAUUUACAUCGCGUGACAUUCGUGUAGAAACAGUCGGAAAUUUACUUAAGAUAUUGUAUCCUGUUUUGAAUUAUGAAGGAAAUUAUACUGUGUAAAUUAUAGGGAAUAUAUUAAAAUAGGGAAAAUCAUUGUUUAUCAUUGUUUAUAAAUCAACGAUUAAAACUUAGUUAAGCGGUAGUUAUCUUUUGAAAACAUAAUUUCAUUCAGUUUAUUCAAAUAAUUCAUUCAAAAAAUAUUUUCUUUUCGAUUGAUAAGGGAGGCAGUUCAACUACUUUUUUUGUAUUAUUCUCAAUUACGGUGCAUUCGACUCAAACAUUUUAAGACUACAGAAUAUUUUCCAUGACAUAUAGUUUUAUUAUAAAACCA
rnacentral:lncRNA from 1 species